CACAGAAUAGAAAAUAAGACCAGAAGCCUCACUCAUCCAAAAUUAUGUCCGAGAUUUUUUAUGCGCAGGCGCGAGCCAGCAAGUGUAAUCCACGCCAUAAAACGCGAGCAAUUACGCCAUCAAUUGCCAUUACCAGGUAAUAAAGAUUGCUGUUUUAACCGUUUUGCUGACGAACGCUGACGUGAUGUUCGCAGCAAGUGUCACCCUGGUGUCACACACGUCAUCUAGCGUGCGAAAUUCGUGAUCCGCAAGGCGAAAAUCGCGGACACGAAAAUGUUAAGGAAAGGUGUACAGUGAGACUUCUGGUCGAUUAUAUAUUCUAUGAUCAGGUCUGUCGCGGCUUGACGUAUUCAUCAGGGCUGACGCAACUUGUCAUCAGCUUGCGGCGGCCAGGUAAACUCCGCAACUUGCAGCAAGUCUGAGAGAUUUCUGGCCGUGUAACAUAUACACAGCCAGAAACGCGCAAG